UGGCUGUGAAGAAAUUGCCGUAUAUUAGCAAAUGUACUGGUAUGCACUUUGCAGCCUCCUUGACUUGCUUCCAGAGGAAAGCACAGCUUUGGUGGAGAUUUGUUUUGUUAAGAACAACCUGCUUCUCAUUUUGCAUUGAUUCUCUGAAUGAAGCCUGCUCAUGGUUUUGCAGACUGUGGAUACUUUCUUCUGUGACAAUUCCUACGGAGUAGUGGGGGUGAAGCGACGGUGUCAGGAGGCCACUGAACCAAGAGUUUAUUUAUAGCUGAAGAGAAGUAGGAUCCUGUCAAGUGCCUUCCAUGACUGGGCGAGGGGACAAUACCAUGAGUUCAGAACAUGCAAUUUGCAAGCAGAUCAAAGGCAACGUGAUGGGGAUCAGAUAUUGAUAUGGCGCCAAUUGUUUGGUCCAUGCUGGGUGCAUCACAAGGCACUACCAGUGCCACAUUGGUGGAUUAGUAGCAUGAGGAUCCCAUGCAAACUGGGUUCAACAUGUGAGGACCAGUUCUGUUGCUAUCGUGCAAUGAGAUGUUGGCAGACACGCCUUCUGAUUGCCACUGGGAAAGCUAGCCAGAAUGGUUCAGACGUUCGGUGUUCAAUGGUCUUAUUUUAGCAGGUGAUAAGCUGACUUGAUUGGGUUUGUGAUUGUGCUUAAUGUGUGUUCUUAAUUUUUAUUAUUAAGGUUGAAAAGAGACUGAGUUAGUUGAUGUAAGGAACACAACUUGAUGAACAAUGUUGUAUCUUAGUUCUGUUGAUGAGCAUUGCAUGUGGCAUCCAUUUCUUAGUGCGUUGACCAGCUGCAAACCAUGGUUUGUGAAUUUAGCUGCUAACUGAAGGUACGAAUAAUAGACAUGUACUUAAUGCAGU
rnacentral:lncRNA from 1 species